CACGUAGGGCGCAAGCGUUGUCCGGAAUUAUUGGGCGUAAAGAGCUCGUAGGCGGUCUGUUGCGUCCGCUGUGAAAACUCGGGGCUUAACCCCGAGCCUGCAGUGGAUACGGGCAGACUAGAGGUAGGUAGGGGAGAAUGGAAUUCCCGGUGUAGCGGUGAAAUGUGUAGAGAUCGGGAGGAACACCGGUGGCGAAGGCGGGUCUCUGGGCAUCUCCUGACGCUGAGACACGAAGGUCAGGGGAGCAAACGGG
rnacentral:rRNA from 1 species